AAGAGUACGUAGGCGGUUCUUUAAGCGCAGGGUUAAGGCAAUGGCUCAACCAUUGUUCGCCCUGUGAACUGGGGGACUUGAGUAUCGGAGAGGAAGCGGAAUUCCUAGUGUAGCGGUGAAAUGCGUAGAUAUUAGGAGGAACACCAGUGGCGAGGCGGCUUUCUGGACGAAUACUGACGCUGAGGUACGAAAGCGUGGGGAGCAAACAGGAUUGAUACCCUGGUAGUCCACGCCGUAAACGAUGAGCACUAGGUGUCGGGGUCGCAAGACUUCGUGCCGCAGUUAACGCAUUAAGUGCUCCGCCUGGGGAGUACGCACGCAAGUGUGAAACUCAAGGAAUUGACGGGGACCCGCACAAGCAGCGGAGCAUGUGGUUUAAUUCGAAGCAACGCGAGAACCUUACCAGGGCUUGACAUCCUGCUGACAGGACCUUAACCGGUCCCUUCUUCGGACGCAGUGACAGGUGGUGCAUGGUUGUCGUCAGCUCGUGUCGUGAGAUGUUGGGUUAAGUCCGCAACGAGCGCAACCCUUGUCGUUAGUUACUAACAUUCAGUUGAGGACUCUAAUGAGACUCCGUGGAUAACACGGAGGAAGGUGGGGAUGACGUCAAAUCAUCAUGCCCCUUAUGUCCUGGCUACACACGUGCUACAAUGGUCGGUACAAAGAGACGCGAGACAGUGAUGUGGAGCAAAUUCAAAAGCCGAUCCCAGUUCGGAUUGCAGGCUGCAACUCGCCUGCAUGAAGUCGGAGUUGUAGUAAUCGUGGAUCAGAAUGCCACGGUGAAUGCGUUCCCGGGUCUUGUACACACCGCCCU
rnacentral:rRNA from 1 species